rnacentral:rRNA from 1 species
UACAGAGGUGGCAAGCGUUGUUCGGAAUUACUGGGCGUAAAGGGCGCGUAGGCGGUCCGAUAAGUCCUGUGUGAAAUCCCUCGGCUCAACUGAGGAACUGCACGGGAGACUGUCGGGCUUGAGUUCGGGAGAGGGAAGCGGAAUUCCGGGUGUAGCGGUGAAAUGCGUAGAUAUCGGGAGGAACACCAGUGGCGAAGGCGGCUUUCUGGUCUGCUCUUGACGCUGAGGCGCGAAAGCUAGGGUAGCAAACGGG